UGCAAUAUAGUUUAUAAAGAACACUGGUCUUGUAAGCCAGAGGAAUAAUAAUUCACUAUUAUUGCAG
rnacentral:tRNA from 1 species